GCCUGUAUAGCUCAGUUGGUCAGAGCGAAGAACUCAUAAUUCUUAGGUCGCUGGUUCGAGUCCAGUUACAGGUACCA
rnacentral:tRNA from 1 species